ACUAUUGGCGGAUUUACAAACCGGUCGUCUGGAUCUUGGUUUACAACGGGAGGAGGCAUCAUGAACUGAUCAUGAGGUGGGGGAGUCGUUGAUUCCCCGUUUGGAUUCUGACUUGGUCCAGGCAGGUUCUGAGUCACAGGAGCAACAGGUUGACCGUACUGAUUUUGAGUUGGAGGAGCCAUAGGUUGACCGUAUGGAUUCUGGGUUGGAGGAGCCAUAGGUUGACCAAAAGGAUCCUGAGUUGGUGGAGCCAUUGGUUGACCAUAAGGAUUCUGACUCGGUGGAGCCAUAGGAUGUUGGCCGUAUGGAUUCAGUGUUGGUGGAGCCAUAGGUUGUUGGCCGUAUGGAUUCUGAGGCGGG
rnacentral:lncRNA from 1 species